UCCCAAGCAGGCUCCCUGCCAUCAGCACAGAGCUCUACGUGGGGCUCAAUCUCACAAACCGUGGGAUCACGACCUGAGCCGAAACCAAGAGUCAGAUGCCCAACCGACUGAGCCACCCGGCGUCCCUAUCUGCCCUCUUUUAUGUGUGUUGAGUGGGGAGGCAGAAUGUAAACCAUACAUUGAAAAGUUUCAGGCAAGUAAUUUACUCAGUUUCCUUAUCUGUAAGAUGCGGACACCAACCCUGCCCUCCACACCCCACAGGGUUGGGAAAUGGGGCACGUACUCUUGGAGAUGGAGUUAGAAACAACAUAUACGAAUGCCUGCAUCUGCCACAACCUGCUGGGCCCUGAUCUUCGCUGGCAAAUAAGUGUGGGGCAGCCUUCAGCCAGAACAUCCUUAGGAGGCGGCGGGGAGGGCUGACCUGGGAGUGGGUGCUGGCUGGUGCCCACAGGGGUUGGGCUUGCCUCGCUGUAGCCCCUUCUACGAAGCUGUGUGAACCAGGGUCAGAGGGAGGCAACUAAGGAGGAGUGAGGCUGGCCAAUUCUCCCCAAGCUCAAAACCACGUGGCUGCAUUUGGGACAUCAGACAGGGCUCUGGCUCCUCUGCUAAUAUGUACUGAGAUGAAAGAAGCUAAUGGUAUCUUCAGAAGGUGUCCCCCCACCCCCCGCCAAAAAAAGAAUAAAGGGCAGGGGGAAGGGGUUUCUGGCAUUAUUCCAAGCUUCCCAUGAGACACAACAGCCUAGGAGAGAGUCCCUGUGAUGGGGGUCCUAUGGAGAAGUCUCUUCCCCACAGCCACCACUGGAGUGGGAAAGGACACAAUGACCUGACCAGGGGGCAGCCUGGCAAGCGCUUUGGAGCUCUCAAGGGAACGUGUCCAUGGCCGAGUACUCACCCCAGGUGCCAGUAGUCUGUCAACUGCCUGUCAUUUCUGCCUCCAGGCCUUAGAGGAAGGGGGGGGGGUCAUUUUAAGAGGGAAGGGGAUCCUGACUUUCCCCACCCUGGGAGAGACAGAGACCCUGAGCCCAGGCAUGCUCCUCCCCUUUCUUCCCCUGCCCAGGCGCCUGGCGCCAAGGAUGGGGCCUGGGUGUUGUGCGUGCUCACGGCCACCAGGGGGAGCAUCAGAGGCGGGCUCCCUGAGGGGGCCACACGCCCCUGCACGACAUAAGGGCACUGCUUUUCAUCACAGUGAUAUAUUUACCCACUGGUAUUUCCAGGUGGUCCAUUUUUCUCUCAAGAAGCCACCCAGCCUGGUUAAAAUGCUUUGCUAUCUUUCAAAAGGCACAGAUGGCUCCAGGUUGCUCAAGCUCUUCAUUGUAAUUCAAGCAAAAGUAUCCAAAAGCAAAGUUUAUAAUACAAUAGAGGAAGCGGGUGCCUGGGCCUCCUGAGUGGGGAUUCCUUUGCCCUUUGGAAGCUGGGGAAGAGUUCACAGGGAAACACUUGCCCUAGGGCGUGGCCCCUGCUCCCUGACACACUUCAUCUCUCCAAGGGCUCUGGACCCCCGAGGAGACGGUGGCGGAGGGGGUGUCCCCAAACUGUGGCAGUCAGGCCACAGUUGCACUGGGGGAAACCUAGUGACAAUGGGUGGCGGGGGGGGGGGGGAGGUCUCUUCUGGGCCCCACAUGGCUCUGUGAGGGCGCAGCCUGUGCUGAGCCCCUUGGUAGCUGGAAGGCCCCUUAGCUUGCUGAUUGAAGGUGACAAGCAGCUGCCUGCAUCCCCGAGGCCCCUCAAAGCUUAAUGCUGGUAAUGCUGUUGCUGUGUUACAAAUUUGGCGCCCACGCCUUGCAGCCACGCUGGCACCUUCCACUUGCUGCAGUGUUUACCUUGCUGGAGACUUCAACUCUGAAGGCCUCAAUCUCUUUGUCUGGAAAAUGGCCAUUCUGAUGUCACAGAGCUCUUGUAUGGUGAGAAACGAGUCGGAGGCAAAGUGCCUGGUGCCUGUCCGCCCCACCCCUGAGGAGAAGCCGGCCUGGGGUGGCCCCACAGUCCAGUUCCCAGGUGACUUUGAGGCUGCUGAGCAGAAACCACCUGUUGAGAGCUGCUGGGUCUUACAUCAAUCACUGAAUGGCCCAGGGCUAAGAAGCAGGAUGCAGCCAGAAGACCCCCUCACAUGCCUCCAGCACAAGGACUGAAGUGGGUCCAACUCCUCGCUUAGCAUAGAUUAAACUGUCCGGCACACUGGAGCUUGGGACUCAUCUCAGCUUGCCCUGGGCCUGCACUUGCCGAUUAGUCACCCAGCAUCUGUGCGCAGGUGCUACACCGUGCCUGGCCGGGGGACACGAAGCCGGGCGGCAAGAAAAGAAACAGCAAAAGCAGGAGCAGGGCGGUGGCAUCAGAGCCCUUCCAGCAGCAGUACAGAGCAGGGUAAGUGGCCGAUAAGACGCGUAUCAGAGAGUCCGCUCUGCAGAAACAAGAGCGGGAGCGAAGGAACAGUGCAGAGGGGCUGGGAGACAAGCUGUCAGGGCUGGCCCCAGGCCCUGUGCAGGGCGGCGGGUCCAGGGGAGGUGGCGUGCGAGGUUGGCGCAAUUCCAGGUCACACUACUGGCAGGCCAGUGCUGCCUGGACCAGGAGCCAGCUGCUUCCCUCCCCUCCAGGCUCCGGAGCUGGGCGACAGUAGCCUGGCCUGGGCUGCGUUUCACCUACAGACGUGUUUUGUUUAGCCCGCUUGGUGUUUCGAGGUUUGGGAAAUUGCACAUGAAAUUCCAGAUGUCUAACUUCUCUGGCUCCCUGGAGCCCAUCUUCCUGCACAGCAGCAACAGGUUCGGUCCGCAGGGCGACAGCGUCUGCAGACAGCACGUGCUCUCUCGAGUCCUCCACUCCCCACGCCUGCCCUGUCUCUCCCGUUCUGACCUGCCCGGCCACGUGAGCACCUUUUGGGGAGCUCUCCUCCAUUUCAAGCCUUCUCUGAUGUCUAUUCUGAUUGGCAACCACAGAGACUGCUCCCACUUCUUGACUGCCCUGUGAACUUGGGCAAACCCGAGCCCUGUGCUGAGUUCCUUAUUUGUGCUGUGGGCUGGGCACAGAAGGGACUGGCUGUGCGGUCUUAAAGAUUUUAGUCUCCAGGGUCCUGGCAAUUCACGUAGGCAAAAAUCUCAGGUGGAAGGAGAAGAACUGCAGGUGAUUAUUUCCAUCUGCUCUGAACUCUUGCUGGGGGAGGGAGAGGGAGGGGACGCUCUGACCCUCAGCACCCCUUACAGGACGUCCGGGAGAGAGAGCUGGUAACCUGGUCUCUAACUCAGAAGAUGGACGGCCUCAUACUUCAUUAUCCUAACUGGGACACUUCUCAGAGUGAAGGGAAAGGUCUUAAUAAUGACCCUGGAGUAGCAGGUAUAAACCAGGACUGUCUUCAGCAAUCCAAGAUAAACGGUGACCUAUGAAUAAAGAAGAGAAACAGGCCUUACCUCUCGGUGUCUCAGCUGAAAGCUUCUGCCUUCAUGGUAGCAGUUGUAAGUUUUUAGCAAGCUUAAGAGCUCCGACCUAAAAAGGUGUCUAACUGGAGGACCCAGGAAGCAGCUCAGCGAAAGCUAGGAGGCUGGCUUUUCUUCAAGGAGGCAAAUAGGAGCUGCCCAAAUCUAGAAAAUAUUUGGACCCAGCACGCAAAAAGCAAGAGAAAAUGAAAACUUAUGUUAGUUCAGAAAUACAUUUGAAUAAAUACUCCAAGUAUUUUUUUAUGGUAA